UCUAAAAAUUUCUCCCAAGGAUGCACAUCACUCUUUCAAUAUCUUCAUAAUCCCUGGCCUCCCCUAGUAUAGCAGCAUACCUACAAUGCUCUCUUGGCCACUCAGUCCCUAAGAAGGCUUUAAUGGUGUCGGGAUCAUAACUGAUCAGAUGUCCCCUCACAUAGCUCAUAUACCUCCCCGUUGAUAUUCCUCCCCUAGGCAAAGCAUUGGCAUAGAACUCCUUCACCAACUCAAUACUGGCUGGUGCUGGACAUGUAGUCAAUCUCUCCCAACCUCGCC
rnacentral:lncRNA from 1 species